rnacentral:piRNA from 1 species
UCCCAAAAAGUGUGUCUUGAUAUCAAGGGU